rnacentral:tRNA from 1 species
GGAGAGGUGGCAGAGCCCGGUUGAAUGCACCUGACUCGAAAUCAGACGUAGUCGAAAGGCUACCGGGGGUUCGAAUCCCUCCCUCUCCGCCA